rfam:Brachypodium distachyon strain Bd21 chromosome 3, whole genome shotgun sequence.
UUAGUACUCCCUCCGUCCAACAAAAGAUGUUUCAAGUUUGUCAAAAAUUCAAUAUAUCUAGACAUGAUUUAGUGUAUAGAUGUAUUCAAAUUUAAUCAAGGAUGAGACAUCCUUUGUUGGACGGAAGAAGUAUUUU